rnacentral:rRNA from 1 species
UACGGAGGGUGCAAGCGUUAUCCGGAUUCACUGGGUUUAAAGGGUGCGUAGGAGGACAGGUAAGUCAGUGGUGAAAUCUCCGAGCUUAACUUGGAACUGCCGUUGAUACUAUCUGCCUUUGAAUCAUUGUGGAGGUGAGCGGAAUAUGUCAUGUAGCGGUGAAAUGCUUAGAUAUGACAUAGAACACCAAUUGCGAAGGCAGCUCGCUACACAUAUAUUGACUCUGAGGCACGAAAGCGUGGGGAUCAAACAGG